rnacentral:lncRNA from 1 species
GGCAAACCCAAUCAGAGCCCAGAAGACCCUGGCUCUGCCCUCCAGGUUAGCGAUGCUCAAGGACCACGAGUGUAGAAAAGCAUACAGGGAGAAAGGACCACAGGAAAUGUGAUUAAGUGGCACAAAGAAUAAAAGAAGUCAGCUUCAUGAUGCCUUUCACAACAGGCACAAUGAGUCGGCCUGGACUGUGGGCGAAUCUCCUGCUUAUCUUCACGUCCCGAAGUUCCCCGUGGCCCUUCUGCAGGAAAACAGUGCGCCGUGGGUAUCUGAGAGCUCACAGCAGACGGUAGAGGGAAAUAGAUGGAACUACUCCAACCUCCUAAACUCUCCCAGCAGAUGGGUGUCAAAUAUGCUGAACACCAAAUAUCCCGUCAGAGCAUCUGUUUAUCCAGCGUCUCCACAUCGCGGAGGAAGUGAAGUGUAAACUGCUACAAUCGCCACUAUGGAGGCGUCCUGAAGUUUGCAGUGUGCGACUUGAUGAAAGUAUAUUUUGGAAGAUUAUUCUGGCUUUGGAGCUGCUGCCCACCAUUCAUUCCAGACCCAGGCCUUUGGGGACAAGAGCUGGAGGGGCCAUUUAUCGAUUGCCUGUGUGUCAAGCCCUGAAAUAUUUCUGUGUGGACUGCCCCCCACCCUAACAAAGCAGGUAAUAGUAUUUCAUUUAAAGGCAAGAACUGAUUCUACAGUGAGAAGCAGCCAGUCUGAAAGCACAUUGCCAGAGCAGGAGGGAGCACCAGGAGGUCAUGACAUCAUGGACCCAUCUGAGGACCG